rnacentral:rRNA from 1 species
GGGUUCUUACAUGCUUAAAACUUGGGGUGAAUGGUCAACCGCCUGCAGAGGGAGCAACCUGUGUCUUUAUAAUAAAGAGGGCUCUUGACGGUCCCGUAAGAAUAAGCACCGGCUAACUACGUGCCAGCAGCCGCGGUAAUACGUAGGGUGCGAGCGUUAAUCGGAAUUACUGGGCGUAAAGCGUGCGCAGGCGGUUCUAUAAGACAGAUGUGAAAUCCCCGGGCUCAACCUGGGAAUGGCAUUUGUGACUGUACAGCUACAGUACGGUAGAGGGGGAUGGAAUUCCGCGUGUAGCAGUGAAAUGCGUAGAUAUGCGGAGGAACACCGAUGGCGAAGGCAAUCCCCUGGACCUGUACUGACGCUCAUGCACAAAAGCGUGGGGAGCAAACAGGAUUAGAUACCCUGGUAGUCCACGCCCUAAACGAUGUCAACUGGUUGUUGGGUGCAUUAGUACUCAGUAACGAAACUAACGCGUGAAUUUGACCGCCUGGGGAGUACCGCCGCAAGGUUGAAACUCAAA